rnacentral:snRNA from 1 species
UUGCUUUGGCAGCACAUAUAGUAAAACUGGAACUAUACAGAGAAGAUUAGCAUGGCCCCUGUGCAAGGAUGACACACAAAUUCAUGAAGCGUUCCACAUUUAA